GAAAAACUUCUCCUAGGGUUGCUAAAGUUGAACUUCAAAUUAGAAUUUGAACUUGAAAAUCCAACAAAGCAGGAUUCCAUUGAUGAAUAAAAUUCCUGAAUACAUCAGAGGGUGCCUAUUCAGAGUGCUUACCAUAAAAUAAUUACAUUCACAUGAAAUGAAAAAGAAAGUUAUUUAGAAAUAAAAGUAAAGGAAAUGGCUUCAACUGAAAAAGAAAUACAAACUGAAUGAAAAAAAUAAUUAUUAAAAG
rnacentral:misc_RNA from 1 species